rnacentral:rRNA from 1 species
AUUGAACGCUGGCGGCAUGCCUUACACAUGCAAGUCGAACGGUAACGCGGGGCAACCUGGCGACGAGUGGCGAACGGGUGAGUAAUGCAUCGGAACGUGCCUGGUAGUGGGGGAUAACUGCUCGAAAGAGCAGCUAAUACCGCAUACGACCUGAGGGUGAAGGGGGGGAUCGCAAGACCUCUCGCUAUCAGAGCGGCCGAUGUCGGAUUAGCUAGUUGGUGGGGUAAAGGCCCACCAAGGCAACGAUCCGUAGCUGGUCUGAGAGGACGACCAGCCACACUGGGACUGAGACACGGCCCAGACUCCUACGGGAGGCAGCAGUGGGGAAUUUUGGACAAUGGACGCAAGUCUGAUCCAGCCAUGCCGCGUGCGGGAAGAAGGCCUUCGGGUUGUAAACCGCUUUUGUCAGGGAAGAAAUCUUCUGAGUUAAUACCUCGGGAGGAUGACGGUACCUGAAGAAUAAGCACCGGCUAACUACGUGCCAGCAGCCGCUGUAAAAC